rnacentral:rRNA from 1 species
GCUGGCGGCGUGCCUAACACAUGCAAGUCGCGCGAGAACGUCUCCUUCGGAGGCUAGUAAAGCGCGAACGGGUGAGUAACACGUGAGCGAUCUGCCCGACGGUGGGGACAACCCAGGGAAACCUGGGCUAAUACCGCGUACAGCGCUGGGAGUAGAGCCCCAGCGUGAAAGCUGGCCUCUCCAUGGAAGCUAGCGCCGUCGGAGGAGCUCGCGGCCUAUCAGCUUGUUGGUGGGGUAACGGCCUACCAAGGCUAUGACGGUAGCUGGCGUGAGAGCGCGAUCAGCCACACUGGGACUGAGACACGGCCCAGACUCCGUACGGGAGGCAGCAGGUGGGGAAUAUUGCGCAAGUGGGACGAAAGCCUGACGCAGCGACGCCGCGUGGGGGAGGAAGGCCUUAGGGUUGUAAACCCCUGUCAGACGGGACGAACCGUGUGCCGGCGAAUAUCCGGCAUGCCUGACGGUACCGUCAGAGGAAGCUCCGGCUAACUCCGUG